GUAGGUGAACCUGCGGAAGGAUCAUUAUCAUUUUGAUCUAAUCCUAAACAGACCGUGAACUGUUCUUUUGUUGUUCUUUGGACCGAGAGGUUUAUCGAAUGGCAAAUGCCUUGAGUGCUCUAUCGGGGAGAUUUGAUUAGAGGUGAUUCACUUCGCUUCUUUCCUUAUUUCUCUUUUAGAGUGCUUUUAACCAAUUGAGCCAAUUUUAAUUGAUGACUGAAUUAUUCUUUUUCUUACCUAACCUAAAAAA
rnacentral:misc_RNA from 1 species